rfam:Aerococcus sanguinicola strain CCTG43001, complete genome.
AGAGCGUUAUGAUGAUGGGGUAACCCAAGUCUAGCUCUUUCACUUCCGGGGCAGGUGCUCCGGAAG